ACCUGCAAAACAAAAAACCAGGGGACACAUUAGGAUUCUGAACGAAAAUUGGCCGCCGGGCUCCUAAGUUCACGAAAAUACGGCUUCGUCUAGUCUGACUGUCCAGGCGAAAAGCAAGAGCGCCUUUCCCGGGACCAUCCGUUUUGACCAAUGGAGCGUGCACCCCUCUCCUGCUGGGGCAGAAUUGGGCUCAACCUCAAUAGGAACGUAAAGCCGAAAAAAACCGGACCGCAAGAAGAGAAAAGAACAGGCAAGGCGGAGCUCAAAGACAAGAGAAAUUUUAUUUUUCCUACGCGGGUCCUUUCCCUCUCCCCUUUCAGAAUAAAAUAGGCCGCAUAUGCAAAUACAACAACUAAGCGGCGCGCUGCCUUGUGGGUAGAAAGAUCAUCUGCACAGGUACAAUUUAGAGAACGCUUUAAAAAAUGACUAGGCAAGGCGAGAUUGAAGUUUUGAUGGGGUUAUUUUAUCAACGAAAACUUCCUUCGUGAUCUCUCAGCUUGAACUUGCGCAGCAAGUUAGUCACCACAAGGCUUAUCUUGUAACCACUGGAUGGCGCAGAGAACCCACCCCCACUUAAACAGCUACGCUCUCCAGAAGCGCUUGAGUUUUGUUUUUCCUUUUGCCGCCGACAUUUUCAGUGCAAAGAUUGUCACCUGCCCCACUGUGGAAUAUAACUUUUUACAAUUGCAUUUUCACCUCAUUUCCAACAUCAGUUAAUCUAUAAUAAGCCACUAAAGUAAUAAUCUUAAAUACUGGCUUCAAAACGAUCCAUCAAAAGGUUUUCCCUAUGAAACACCAUUAUACAAAAGCAAGUUUCACACAGAGCUCUCUUGACAAUCAAAAGCAAAAAGCCCCCAAAAAACCUGAUGUUAUAGUGAUUAAGUUAUGAUCUGAAUAACCAGUAGGCAAUUACAUUCCCUGCCUCGCUAUUCUGUGGCAAAAAUGUCUCUCUCUAUAACGUGAAAUCACAACGUACAUUUUCUUAUUCUGCCCUAAAAUAUAAUUCUUUGAAUUUUGCGCAAAUUUGUCCUGAAUAACAACGUAAAAUCGGGAUUAAAAUUUUUAAAAGGCUGUUCCUAUUUCCAAAGAUCAAUCACAUGAACAUCAGAGAUGUAUAAGCAAUUCUGUCAAUUACUUUGAUAACAGAAAAAUGGUUCUUAUGAACACAAAGAGAAUGUAAAUGAUGACUAUAUAGCAUGGAAGAUCUUAAUUAAAAAUCUCUUUAGAAGAGCUAAAGGUUGGAUUUCUUCAAAAACACAGCCAUUAUUUAAUAGUGCAAUUUACACUUGACAAAUGGGAAUCCUGAUACCAAAUCUACUUUUACGCGUCCUCUCCUACAUGGGUUUAUAUGUAAGGUAUCAUUUUUAUGGUGUUAAUUCAAUGAUGUACUAUUAACAAGCUUAACAUUAUACCUUGCUAUAGGUUCUCCCUAUCUUUUCUCAUAUCAGGCAUAUGACUCACCCAGGUUAUAAAAAGACUAUUGUGUUCUCAGUUAGGACAACUUAUAAAGGAAUGCUCUUGAUGUAUGAUGAGAGGAGUUUCUAAAAUGUCCUAGGCUGAAAGACUUUUUCUCAACAUAUUUUCCAACACAAGCCAAGAGAUGUUCAAAGAACUGUUUUGGGUUUGUUUGUGGUCCUAACAGUGAAGAUGAACAGGGAAAAAGUGUAAUUCUCAAAAUAGUUCUGCUUUAACUUAAGAAAUUUAUCUGUUUAUCCCCCAAAAAAGUAACUUUAUUCAACUUCAUAUUUAUCUUUAAUUCUGUAUUGGUUAUUUUCUGAAAUUAAGAGGGGGAGCACAGCAGAAAUGAGAAUAAUAAUAACUUUUCAUGUUCCUUGUAUUGACUUGUCCUUACAAUUCCAAAGAACCAGAUAAUCCAAUGUUUCAUUUGGUAAGAGCAUGGUGAGCUAAACAACACACUCAUUUUGUUCUAUAAACUAGAUCAAAUGAUUUGACAACCCAAAUUUUCAGUAUAUCUCCAGAAAAAUGUUGAGUCUGACUACAAGACACAAGUAUCUCCUAUAUGACAGAAAACCACCCAUCUAGUGGUAAAACUACCCCACUAUUUCUCAUACUGAAUAUACAUUCCAGCAACAACACACAGAGAUCUCAGUUAAAAGGGAAGCCCAGUGGCCUAGAAUCUAAUCUUUGAUUAUACUGAUCACAAGGAACAAGGCUGCAAUUCAUAUAAGUUAUAUAUAAAACAUUCAUGCACAUUCCUCACCCACUUGAAGAAACAAACAUCCUUUUAGUAUCUUUGUAGAGUAUUUAAAAUUGACAGCUUGCUCCAACCACUAUUAAAGAGGAAGGUGGUUAUUUGGAUAAUAAAAUGGGGGAAGUAUAAGAGCUUGGUUAAAAAGUCUGAUCCAUUUCUCCCAGGCCAUAAAGAGAGUUGGGAGGGGAACAGUCAUUGUGAAGACUUUAAAUAUGAGCAAAUAUUUAACGUGCCCAAAUGCUGCUGGGAGAUGGGACAGCUUAGGCUGGGGAAGGGGGAAGAUAAGACUAGAAAGGAAAAAGAGCUUCUCUAAUACAGGAAAUACUUCAGAAGCAUCCAACAACAAAAAUCCAGAAACAGCCUCUCUUAUGAGAAGUGUGCAGGCAUUUUUAAUCUUAGGAUGAAAGCAGAAGACACAAGUUAGGAGAGUCAGUUCUGGUCCAGCCCAGGACAAACAACCAAAACAGAAGAAGGCCCAGAAAAAAGCAGAGUAUAUCUAGAUAGCACAAUAAAGUGGGUUAUGUGGCCUGUAGCCCCAUUACUUUGUGUUCCCUUGGGGUAUCAUUUAACUUCCUGACUCAUUUUCUAUCGAAGAAUAUGAGGAAGGUCUAGAUGGUCUAUGAGGCUAAAUAUAUGAAAAUAGGCCAAGAAGGGAUUCCUUCAUGAGCCCUGAAUGAGAUGUGUAGAGGAAGUCGGGAAACUAGUCAGUUAUGUGACUAAUGGGAGUGUCAAGAUCCAGUAAGAAUUUAGAAUAAAACAGGGAAAAUCCAAAUCUGGAGUGGACUGCUGAGAGGUACUCAGACACAGAGGAUGAACAAAUAGUUCCAAGUAUCUUUAUGAAAACAGGAUAAAGUGGAAGCUACAAAGAGCUUCUAUUAGACUCACAUAAAUUUCGCACCUGUAUAGGAAAACCUGAAAAAGUCCCUCCAUCAGAUCCCCUAAAGAAGGUGGGGUAUGUGUAAGGAAGGAAAAGUUAAGUUUUUAGCAUUGCUAGUAAGAAAAUGUAAGUACCUGGGACAAGCGUAUGUCCUUUAUUCAAUAGAAAGUGAUGAAAAAAUGCCUAUGAAAAACUAUUGUUUAAAAGAACUAAGUUGAUGACUCCUAAAGUGAAUUGAGGAAUCCCUUGUAUAAUCAUGAAUUGAACCCUAAUUUACCUGUUUUAGGGCGGGAAGGAACCUUAAAGACAUUUAAUCCAACUGUCUUAUUUUACAAAUGAAGAGAAUGACACCAAGGAAACAAAGUUAACUUGCCCAAUGUCAUAUAAAGAAUUAAUGAAACUAAAUUUAGGAUCCAGAAGUAAAAUAAUGGUAUACUCUCAGAAUUCCAGGCUAGUGUUCUUUUGACAUUAUCUUAAUUUCUUUUUUUCUUAUAAGCUAACUUCUCUCAACAUCAGUUUUCUUUCCAAUAAAAUAGAUAAUGCAUUUUAUUUGAGUUUUGUUUGAUUUUAUUUGUUAAAAGAAAAUUUCAUAGGGAAGAGGAGUGUCUCUGCCCAAUAAUUAUGACAUAAAGACAAAAGACAUCAAUGAAAAAUCAAAUGAAAAAAAUUUAGAUAUGUUCCUUAAAUAUCUAUGAAAUCUUGGGCAAGUCACACUUAUCUUCUAAGAUGUCAGUUCCUCAUCUGUAAAAUGAUGGAAUUAGACAAGUUGAAUUCUAAAGGGCCUUCCAGUUUUAAAUAUAUAACUUACAGUGUGGGAUAUGUUCAGUUUUAGACAUCUAUAGAACAUCUAUUUGAAGAGAUCCAAAAGACAGGUGAAAUAUCAGUAUGGAAGAUUAGUCCUAAAACCGUGAAACUGAGAUCACUUAGUGAAAUAAUACAAAGUGAAAGGACACAGCCUUUAGGAACACCCAUCUUUCAUUCACCAGAGUGACCUAGAUGAAGAUGCACCAAAAAAGAUUCAAAAGAAAUACUCAUACAAGUAAAAAGAAAACUAGGACACCAAUAAGCCACUCAGUCUUAAGUCAUGACUACUUGAAGCCUCUAUUUUCUCAUUUGUGAAAUAAGCAAAUUAGACUUGAGAAUCUCUGUGUCCUAAGGAAUGGUUCUGGAAUUGCAGCAAAGGUUAAUUAACCAAAGGCACAUAAGUCACUUUUGAACUUUCUGGACCCCAAGCCCACUACCUCCUUCCUGGAAAGAAUAAAGUCAGUCAGUUUCCUCCUUUUUACACCCACUGCUCCCUUUAAAACACAGUCCUCCACUACUAAAAUACCGCCCUUUUGAGAGCAAGGACUGAUUUGCUUUUUGUAUUUAUAGGCCGAGAGUUUAUCAAAUUGCCAGUCACAGAAUAAGUGCUUUAAGGUGGUUUUUCCUUGAUUCAUUCUUACGUUAC